GGGUUGUGAGGUUAAGCGACUAAGCGUACACGGUGGAUGCCCUGGCAGUCAGAGGCGAUGAAGGACGUGCUAAUCUGCGAUAAGCGUCGGUAAGGUGAUAUGAACCGUUAUAACCGGCGAUUUCCGAAUGGGGAAACCCAGUGUGUUUCGACACACUAUCAUUAACUGAAUCCAUAGGUUAAUGAGGCGAACCGGGGGAACUGAAACAUCUAAGUACCCCGAGGAAAAGAAAUCAACCGAGAUUCCCCCAGUAGCGGCGAGCGAACGGGGAGCAGCCCAGAGCCUGAAUCAGUGUGUGUGUUAGUGGAAGCGUCUGGAAAGGCGCGCGAUACAGGGUGACAGCCCCGUACACAAAAAUGCACAUGCUGUGAGCUCGAUGAGUAGGGCGGGACACGUGGUAUCCUGUCUGAAUAUGGGGGGACCAUCCUCCAAGGCUAAAUACUCCUGACUGACCGAUAGUGAACCAGUACCGUGAGGGAAAGGCGAAAAGAACCCCGGCGAGGGGAGUGAAAAAGAACCUGAAACCGUGUACGUACAAGCAGUGGGAGCACGCUUCGGCGUGUGACUGCGUACCUUUUGUAUAAUGGGUCAGCGACUUAUAUUCUGUAGCAAGGUUAACCGAAUAGGGGAGCCGAAGGGAAACCGAGUCUUAACUGGGCGUUAAGUUGCAGGGUAUAGACCCGAAACCCGGUGAUCUAGCCAUGGGCAGGUUGAAGGUUGGGUAACACUAACUGGAGGACCGAACCGACUAAUGUUGAAAAAUUAGCGGAUGACUUGUGGCUGGGGGUGAAAGGCCAAUCAAACCGGGAGAUAGCUGGUUCUCCCCGAAAGCUAUUUAGGUAGCGCCUCGUGAAUUCAUCUCCGGGGGUAGAGCACUGUUUCGGCAAGGGGGUCAUCCCGACUUACCAACCCGAUGCAAACUGCGAAUACCGGAGAAUGUUAUCACGGGAGACACACGGCGGGUGCUAACGUCCGUCGUGAAGAGGGAAACAACCCAGACCGCCAGCUAAGGUCCCAAAGUCAUGGUUAAGUGGGAAACGAUGUGGGAAGGCCCAGACAGCCAGGAUGUUGGCUUAGAAGCAGCCAUCAUUUAAAGAAAGCGUAAUAGCUCACUGGUCGAGUCGGCCUGCGCGGAAGAUGUAACGGGGCUAAACCAUGCACCGAAGCUGCGGCAGCGACGCU
rnacentral:rRNA from 1 species